rnacentral:lncRNA from 1 species
UCCAACAGCUUGUCCAUCUCUAUACACAUAUUCAAACUUUACUCUGCGAACAUUAUAGUCUACAGUGCAAAACAGUACUUUUGAGUAAAAUUUAGGUAGACUGCUGCAAACGGCCUUAGCGGACAGGAGAGUACGUUCGUUCGUUCUGUCGUGCAAUGAUGCAAAGGGAAAAUAGAGAGACUCGUUAGUAUCAUUAGCAAGAAGAAAAAUUAGAGACUCGCUAGUAUCAUUAGCAAGAAGAAAAAUAGAGAGACUCGUUAGUACCGUCUGAUCCGGACCAUUCUGUAGUUUGUCCCCAUCAAUCUGUGACGAAGGAACACCAACAUACUGUUCGCACGUC